UGGAACGGGGUGCCAUAGAGGGUGAGAGCCCCGUGAGUUGUCUUUUUAGCUCUUUAAGUCUUUACCAAAGAGUCGAGUUGUUUGGGAAUGCAGCUCUAAGUGGGUGGUAAAUUCCAUCUAAGGCUAAAUACCGGCGAGAGACCGAUAGCGAACAAGUACAGUGAUGGAAAGAUGAAAAGCACUUUGAAAAGAGAGUGAAACAGUACGUGAAAUUGUUGAAAGGGAAGGGUAUUUGGCCCGACAUGGGUUCUGUGCACCGUUGCCUCUUGUAGGCGGCGCUCUGCUGGAGCCUGGGCCAGCAUCAGUUUUCCGGCGAGGAUAAGAAGUUUUGAACCACAUUGUGGGGAUGAGUUUGAUGCUCGCAUGGGGGACUGAGGACUGCCGUUGUAGGAUGCUGGCAUAACGGCCAAAUACCGCC
rnacentral:rRNA from 1 species